rnacentral:lncRNA from 1 species
GCCAACUUUAUACCACCUAAUAGGAGAUUGACAUCUCCUACUACACAAUGCCUCAAAAGGCGCCUUGCCAAAGCUAGAGAAAAAGUUUGAUUCAACUUAGAGUUUACCGAGACACAGAACCACUUAAGUUUGAGUCUAGCCAAAUGCCACUUCUGUAUGUGAGCAUGUACAAGACUAGAAGGAGUAAACUAAAGCCAUCGGGCUCUAUUCCUUACAUCCAUUCUGAACACUACUCUGCC